GAGGCUAUAGCUCAGUGGUAGAGCAUGUGCUUAGCAUGCACAAGGUCCUGGGUUCAAUACCCAGUACCUCCA
rnacentral:tRNA from 1 species